rnacentral:misc_RNA from 1 species
GAUGAGCAUCUCGGCGCAGCAAAAACUGAAAGGGAAAGUGACCUACUAAUCUAGAAAACUCAUAUUUUUCAUACCAAUGAAAAAAAAAGAUUUUUAAAAAUGUGAAAAAACAAAACUUUUAGUGUUCUAUGUAUUAGAUGAUUUAAGCUUUAUUGUUUGCACCUAACUACAUAUGCAUUAUAUUUUUAAUUUAUUCUGUUAGUUUUUUUUAUGCAUGAUGCCUUUAAAUGUUGGUUGUAUUAUUUUGUUUUAAGAAUUUUUUACAACAUUAUUAACUUUAUAAGUGGUUUAUUAGCAGAAUGUCCAUCUUACUUAAAGGCUGAACAUAGUAAAUAAUCUUUAAAUUUGAGUUUUAAAAAAGUUUUAUUUAAAUAGCAUCAGAAGGGACCAGUUUAUCUUAUUUAAAAUCAUCUCAGGAACAAAAUAGACUUUAAUUAGCAUGGCUUUAAACAGUUUUGCUUUUUACAUUUUUUUUGAAAUGCCAUGCACGAAAGCAAAUAUUUGGUGUGCAACAAGUGAUAUAAUUAGCUAAAUGAUACCUUUUCCCAAUGCAUUUAAGUUUUAAUCAGUUUAUAUGUACAAUUCAUUUAUUUGGUGAAAUAUAUCUAAUGAUAACAUUAUGCUAACGGUUCCCAAUGGGUUUAAAGUUUUGAAAUUUACAGUCUUAAUUGAUACCUGAUAUAUUAUGUUUUAAUACAUGUAUUUAUUCACAUCUGGUUAAUAGGAGGGGGGUUAAAAUCUAAAUCUUCUAACAAGCAAGAAACACCCAGUGCUAACUUAUUUUUUAAUAUGUGUUUUAGAACUGUAAUUGAAUGUUUUAUUUAAUUUCCGUCCAAGUUAUUUGUGAUAGAGUAUGGAUAUUUAAUGUGUUAUUAAUAAAAUUAAACCAGU